UUUUUAGAUAUUAAUAUUAGAAAACAAGACAAAAAACCCUAGGUAAGGCAAUAAUUUUUUGCAGUGUGAGGGAGAAGAACCAAGCCCUGAGGGAACGUAGUGAACGAGCAGCUUCGGAUGACAGCGGCUCACUUUUGGCGUUGCUUGACAACACUUUGAGGCAGGAUAAAAAGCUCCAGAAACAAUUUCUUUAGAGUAUCUUCUCUAAUCACCUGGACUGGUGUAGGGAAUCAAGCAUGUUUUAGAUACCUGUUUCUGAAGACCAUUGUUCAAAGAGCCAUCCGGAAGAACCCUGCAACCCAGGAUGCCACUGAUUGGGCUGUCCAGGUUAAUGUUACGUGUUACCUGAAAGGAGCAUCUGACCGUGAAGGUGGAAAAAGGCAGUACACAGCUGAGAGGGAACCACAGAUGACCCCUUAAACCGAGGCUGACUACUGACACCCCAGCAUCGCUGACAACUGGAAACAUUUCUUUAUCCUGCAGUCAGUAACAUCAAGAAU